rnacentral:rRNA from 1 species
AACGAACGCUGGCGGCGUGCUUAACACAUGCAAGUCGAACGCGAAAGGGGCUUCGGUCCCGAGUAGAGUGGCGCACGGGUGAGUAACGCGUAAGUGAUCUACCCCUGUAUCUGGGAUAACUAUGGGAAACUGUAGCUAAUACCGGAUACGUUUAUAUACUUGCGAGUAUAUAAAGAAAGAUGGCCUCUUCAUGAAAGCUAUUGUACAGGGAGGAGCUUGCGUACCAUUAGCUAGUUGGUAGGGUAAUGGCCUACCAAGGCAACGAUGGUUAGCGGGUCUGAGAGGAUGAUCCGCCACACUGGAACUGAAACACGGACCAGACACCUACGGGAGGCAG